AGCAGUGGGGAAUAUUGGACAAUGGGCGAAAGCCUGAUCCAGCCAUGCCGCGUGUGUGAAGAAGGUCUUCGGAUUGUAAAGCACUUUAAGUUGGGAGGAAGGGCAGUUACCUAAUACGUGAUUGUUUUGACGUUACCGACAGAAUAAGCACCGGCUAACUCUGUGCCAGCAGCCGCGGUAAUACAGAGGGUGCAAGCGUUAAUCGGAAUUACUGGGCGUAAAGCGCGCGUAGGUGGUUUGUUAAGUUGGAUGUGAAAUCCCCGGGCUCAACCUGGGAACUGCAUUCAAAACUGACUGACUAGAGUGUGGUAGAGGGUGGUGGAAUUUCCUGUGUAGCGGUGAAAUGCGUAGAUAUAGGAAGGAACACCAGUGGCGAAGGCGACCACCUGGACCAACACUGACACUGAGG
rnacentral:rRNA from 1 species